rnacentral:rRNA from 1 species
GAUGAACGCUGGCGGCGUGCCUAAUACAUGCCAGUCGAGCGAACGGACGAGAAGCUUGCUUCUCUGAUGUUAGCGGCGGACGGGUGAGUAACACGUGGAUAACCUACCUAUAAGACUGGGAUAACUUCGGGAAACCGGAGCUAAUACCGGAUAAUAUUUUGAACCGCAUGGUUCACAAGUGAAAGACGGUCUUGCUGUCACUUAUAGAUGGAUCCGCGCUGCAUUAGCUAGUUGGUAAGGUAACGGCUUACCAAGGCAACGAUGCAUAGCCGACCUGAGAGGGUGAUCGGCCACACUGGAACUGAGACACGGUCCAGACUCCUACGGGAGGCAGCAGUAGGGAAUCUUCCGCAAUGGGCGAAAGCCUGACGGAGCAACGCCGCGUGAGUGAUGAAGGUCUUCGGAUCGUAAAACUCUGUUAUUAGGGAAGAACAUAUGUGUAAGUAACUGUGCACAUCUUGACGGUACCUAAUCAGAAAGCCACGGCUAACUACGUG